UAGGGUUUUGAAAUCUUGAAU
rnacentral:piRNA from 1 species